CGUGUAGGCGGGAAGGAAAGUCAGAUGUGAAAUCCCCAGGCUCAACCUGGGAACUGCAUUUGAAACUCCCUUUCUUGAGUACCGGAGAGGAAAGUGGAAUUCCUGGUGUAGGGGUGAAAUUCGUAGAUAUCAGGAGGAACACCAGUGGCGAAGGCGGCUUUCUGGACGGUAACUGACGCUGAGACGCGAAAGCGUGGGGAGCAAACA
rnacentral:rRNA from 1 species